GUCAGAUAUAUGAUUUACAAAUGUUUUCUCCCAUUCUGUGUGUUAUAUAUCUUUCCGCUUCCUUGAUGGUGUCCUUUCAUACAUAAAAGUUUUGAAUUUUUAUGAAGUCUAAUUUAUCUAUUUUUCCUUUGGUUGCUUGUGCUUUUGAUGUCAUAUCCGAGAAACCAUGGCUUAAUCCAAAGUCACGAAGAUUUGUUCCUCUGUUUUCUAUUAAGUGUUUCAUGCUUUUAGCUCUUCCCUAUAGGUCUUUGAUCCAUCUUGAGUUAAUUUUUGUACGUGGUAUGAGGUGGAGGCCCAACUUUAUGUUUUGCAUAUGGACAUCCAGUUGCCCCAGCACUAUUUGUUGAAAAGACUACUCUGUCCCCAUUGAAUUAUCUUGGCACCCUAGUUGAAAAUUAAUUGACCAUAAAUCUGAGGGUUAAGAAGUGCACUUUGAAUGGAAAUUUGAGGAAUGAGAAAUUUGUAUGGGUCUGAAAGAAUAGGGAGAAGCAGGCUGGGGCAGGGAGGUGUUUUAUUUUACUUUUUGUGUUUUAUUUUAAAUUCCAAAAGUAAUACAUUGUCACUAUAAAAGACUCAAGUAUAGAGAGUAAAAAGUAAAUGUUCCUCUUCAGACUCUCUCCAAGUUUAGUCCCUUUGCUGUUUGUAAACCACCGCUAACAUAUCAGAGGGUAUGUUUAACUAAAAAGUUAGUUAAGUGGCGUGUGGCUAGAUUGGGAGGAGCCUAAAAUUCUAGAUCAAGGGUUUUGAACGUGAUUUAAAAGAAAGCUAAAUAGGCAUUAUAGGCCUUUUCUUUUUAAAUGUAGAUUCUUAUUUAGAGGAGUGAUAUCUCUUUUUUGAGUCUCCCUUGAGUCAGAUUUACUCCCUCAACAGGGUGGCCAAGAAUCUGGGAGAGUCAAACUCCACGAAGCUCACCAAGCCUCAGAUGAUCUCCAGUUCUUUUAUUAGCACCCUUUCCUCUCAAUUCAGAUUCAAGGAACAUAAAGUCUCAUUGGGAGCUAGGGGUAAGAUGGGGGCGGGAGAAUGGACAUGGGCAGCAAAGGCGAGGGAUCACAGCAUAGCACAGCUGAGGACUUGGAGACUGAGGCAAGAUUAGGGGAUAUUAGGGAAUGUGUCCAGGGGCAUGACCUCUAUCUCCCAGAGAAGUUUGAUCAGAAGUAGAGGAUCUUCCUGGACCUCCAGGAUGUUCAAUAGUUCUGGCUCAGUGCUCUGCUCUCAUUCCAUGGAUUCGAAGUACAAAUAGUUUCCCCCUUGAUGAACCUUUCAGAUCCUUUCUAACCCUAGCAGCAGUUUACUCUUUUUUUUUGAGGAAGAUUAACCCUGAGCUAACUACUGCCAAUCCUCCUCUUUUUGCUGAGGAAGACUGGCCCUGAGCUAACAUCCAUGCCCAUCUUCCUCUGCUUUAUACGUGGGACGCCUACCACAGAAUGGCUUUUGCCAAGCGGUGCCAUGUCCACACCCGGGAUCCGAACCAGCAAACGCCGGGCCGCUGAGAAGCGGAACGUGCAAACUUAACUGCUGCGCCGCCGGGCCAGCCCCAGCAGUUUACCUUUAAUGUCGUUUUUCCACGGGUGAGUUGAUAUCAAUAGGGACUUUGGUGGACAUUUUAUAAAUUUGGAGGUAUAAAAUGCAUAUAGAAAAGUGCAUAAAGUGCACUAAUCUUAAAUGUACAACUUUUUUCUAUCUUAUCAAAAUCAGGGGACCAGCAACUACCCAGAAUUCCUGGAGAGGAUGGAGGUCAAAAUACAGAACAUUUCCAGCACCACAGAACGCUGACUCCUUGUGCCCCUUCUCAGUCCUUACCCACGCCCAUGAUUGACCACAUUCUGACUUCUGUAGUCGUAGAUCAGUUUUGCCUGUAUUUGAAUUUCAUAUAAAUGGAAUCAUAAGCGCUUUGUAUCUUCUUUUGGACAGCGUGGUGUGGCUGAUGUGAAGCCUUCAAAUGCUGCAGCCC
rnacentral:lncRNA from 1 species